rnacentral:tRNA from 2 species
GGGAGUGUCUGCACGCCUGGUGGCGGCCGCGGGCUUCAAACCCGUUGGAGGGUCUGGAACACAGGUUCUCGGUGGGUUCGAUUCCCAUCCACUCCCG